rnacentral:rRNA from 1 species
GCAAAUCAAUAUAAAUUGAUGUAAUUAAAUUAUUAAUUAUUUUAUUUUACUUAUUUUAUUAAAAAUAAUUUUAUUAAUGUUUUAGUAUUUUUUAAAGAAUAAAUAAUUUUUAUUAUAGAGAAUUAAUGUACUGUGAAGGAAUUUUGAAAUAUUUGAAAAUUUUACAUUUAUAAAGAAAAUUUAAUUUAUUGUACCUUGUGUAUCAGGGUUUAUUAAAUAAAUAUUUUUUAUUAAAAUUUUCUCGAAAAGAAAAGAUCUAAUUAAAUAUAAUAGUUAAUGUGUCAUAAUUAUUAUAAAUAUUUUUUUUGAAAUGAAAUGUUAUUCGGUUUUUUUGAUAUCUAGUUUUUUAAGAAAUAAAUUUAAUUUAUUUAUUGUAAAUUGAUUAAUUUUUUUUUAUUAAAAUUAAUUUUUAUAAUAAAAGUAUUUAACGGGAUGAGCUGUUAAAUAAAUUUUUAAAAAAUAAUUAAUUUUGAAAUAUUUAUAUGCUUAGAAUUAGCAAUUGAUUUUAAAUUUGUUAUAAUUUAUAUUUUUUUUUUAUUAUUUAUUUAUUUUUAAAUUUAUAUUAAAAUUUUAGAUUUAAUAGAAAAAUCUAAUUAAUAAUGAUUUAAUUAGUAUAAAUUUUAGUUUAAAUAUAAAUUUUUGAUAGGUUUUAUUAAGGAAUUCGGCAAAAUUAAUGUUCGCCUGUUUAACAAAAACAUGUCUUUUUGAAUUGUAUUUAAAGUCUAAUCUGCCCACUGAUUUUUAUUAAAUGGCCGCAGUAUCCUAACUGUGCAAAGGUAGCAUAAUCAUUAGUUUUUUAAUUGAAAGCUUGUAUGAAUGAUUGGACGAGAUAUUAGCUGUCUCAUUAAAAUAUUUUGAAUUUUAUUUUUUAGUCAAAAAGCUAAAAUAAUUUUAAAAGACGAGAAGACCCUAUAGAUCUUUAUAAUUUAAUUUUUAAUAUUUUUUUAGUUUAAUUAUUAUAUUAUAAAUUAAAUUAUUUUGUUGGGGUGACAAUGAAAUUUAUAUAACUUUUGUUAUUUUUAAAACAUAAAUUAAUGAAUAAUUGAUCCUUUAUUAUAGAUUAAAAAUUUAAGUUACCUUAGGGAUAACAGCGUAAUUAUUUUGGAGAGUUCAUAUCAAUAAAAUAGAUUGCGACCUCGAUGUUGGAUUAAGAUUAAUUUUUGGUGCAGAAGCUAAAAAUAUUAAGUCUGUUCGACUUUUAAUUUCUUACAUGAUCUGAGUUCAGACCGGCUUAAGCCAGGUUGGUUUCUAUCUUUAGAAAAAAAAAUUAAGUGUUUUAGUACGAAAGGACCAAAUACUUGUAAUAUAAUUAUAUAAUAAUUGAAUUUUAUUAAAAUAAUUU